rnacentral:ribozyme from 15 species
UUUUCCCUAUACAUGUAUACGCCCCAAAAAAAAAAAAAAAAAAAAAAAGAGAUUUCUCCCGUUUUUU